CCUCUCUCAGGGUGGCACCUGGAGAGUUUCCAGUCCUCUACCAGUCUCGGCUAUGGGAGGGAAAGUUAAGCAGAGGCCUACCCACUCCAUUCCUAGCGUGGACAGUGGCUAGCGAGAGGAAGGCAAUCUGCUACAAGU
rnacentral:snoRNA from 1 species